rnacentral:lncRNA from 1 species
GAAAAACAAAUAAGGGUAAAAAUAAGAGAAAUUAUAAAAACACAUUAAAAGGGAAAAAUAACCAAACUAAAACAUGGAAAUGCAUAAGUAUAAAUAUAGAAGAAUAUGCAUCAAAAUGCACUGAUCACAUACACAUAUAGAAGACAACAUAACUUUGUAUUUAGUCAUUCAUACAUUACCAAAUAAGAACAAUACUAAUCAUAUUUGGAUAAAAACUUCCUAGUAAUAUACAAAAAUCAAAUUAGACAAAAGUGAAAUAAAAAAUAUAAAACAAAUGAAUAAAAAAAUAUAAAAAUAUUGUGAAACCAAAAAAAAUAAAGGAUGGGAAAUAUUAGAGAAAAGGAAAAGAAAGAAUAGAAGAGAGAAGAGAUUAGACAAUAAAAGACGCGAUAACAACGAAAUUAGAAGAUAAAAUAAUACCUAAAAAUGAGAAGAUGAAAAAAGAGAGCAUAAAAG